GAUGAACGCUGGCGGCGUGCCUAAUACAUGCAAGUCGAACGAAACGACUAUAUCCCUGCUUCUCUGACCUUACCGGCGGACGGGUGAGUGACACGCGGAUAAGCAACCUAUGAGACAGCGAUAACUUCGGGAGAGCGGAGCUAAUACAGGAGAAUCUAAUACACCGUAAGGUUAAAUAGUGAAUGGUGGCUUUGUAAUAACUUAUUAUUGUAUCCGCGUCGCAUUAGCGAGUGGGGAAGGUAAAGGCUUAUCAAGGCGAUGAUGCGUAACCGAACUGAGAGGUUGAUCGGCCACACUGGGACUGAGACACGGUCCAGACUCCUACGGGAGGCAGCAGUAGGGAAUCUUCCACAAUGGGCGAAAGCCUGACGGAGCAACGCCGCGUGAGUGAAGAAGGUCUUCGGAUCGUAAAACUCUGUUAUUAGGGAAGAACGAGUGUGUAAGUAACUGUGCACGUCUUCACGGUACCUAAUCAGAAAGCCACGGCUAACUACGUG
rnacentral:rRNA from 1 species